CCUAGUGAUCACACAAACCUUGAACUACAACAGGAGCUGGAUCCACAUCUAAUCAUCAAUCCUCAUCUUCAAGCUGCAGAAGUUAUAAAGAGCUGAGGACAAUAUCGUUGUAUCCUGACCCCAGCUGACCGGUUUAAGAGAAGGAAGACAGGUGUUGUUCUGACACUUGUACAAGAAAGCUAUACUAUAAACCGUAGUUCUGGUGCUACUGCUGUACCUGUACCUCGACGGAAGAAGAUUGUGCUUGUACUAUAGAAUCCUGGUUUGACCUGGAUAAGAAGGAGACGCUGUACUCUUUGGACCUGUAAACAUGAAGCUGUCCUGUUAUUGCAGCCAUGAGUUAUUUACAGGACUUGAAGGAGAGUGUUGAUAGUGAGUUGAAGAUUGAAAGGAGAUUGUUGUUCCCUGGAGUUGAUAACCUGUUAGUUGGAGCUGAAGAGGA